AAGUAAAACUAACAAAAAAAAAAAAUUAAGUACCGUAUGACUGUUAUGUGGUCCAGGGACACAUAUUAUAUUUUUAUUUUUAGUUUUUUAUUUGUUUGUAUCUCUGCCAAAUAUUUAUAAAGUAAAACUCAAAAAAAAAAAAAAAAAAUAAGUACCCGUAUGACUGGUUAUGUGGUCCAGGGACACAUAUUAUAAACUUUAUGUAAGUUUAUUGCUAUAUCAAAAUAACUUAUGGUAUAUCGUAUCAAGCGACACAGCCAAGCAACAUUUUUUUGUGACGAUAAAAAUUGGCAUGUGAAACAAAAUCGUUGCAGUGAUCACAAAACUGCCGUGCUCUCUUUCUUCUCACUAAAUCCACUGACGACCUCAAACGCUCUUCCACGAUGACAUGAAGUAAAAAUUACUUUAUAUGUCUGACUCUUCAUGGGUUACAUUAGUCAAGAGGAAUACAACAAACAUUGUUUUAGUAUAUCAAGAAAAAGGUUUAUUGUAAAGGUUGACAUUUACAGAUAAUGACAAAAAUGAAAAUAGACAUUAACAAUGACAAAACAAAUUUCUAAAUCUCUACCACAGUGCAUAGUGGAAUUACAACCGAGACCUUCUCUUUAAGUGUGACUUAACUGCACGGUUGAUGUACUAAGUACACAUCUGCCUGCAAUAAUACGCUCCACAGGGAGAAAUGCUGCAGCAGUAUCAGUCUGUUCCGGGCAUUAUGUCGGUGACGUAAGGGAAUGCAACCAAUGACAUUACAGUAUCAUUCGCGCGAACACAAUUUUGUACGGAAGUCAUUUUUUGCGAAUUGCGACUUGGUGAAACUGACUAUUGUUUGUGAUGGCGUGUAAAAGAAACCUGAGUUUUACUACUCCCGUGAGUAAUAGGGCUUUGCAACCAGCAGCAAGCCCACUGAGCAUAAAUGAUUUAAUGAAACAGCUGAUCUCCGGUCAGAACGCUUUGUCUCGUCAGCUUGAGGGUUUGAUGGAGAAGCAAGCUGCAAACACUGUUCUUCUCGAAGAUGCUAUCCAGCGUCUUUGUGCUCUUGAGCGAAAGUUUGACGAGCAAAGACCGCAAGAGGAACAAAGACCGCGGGAAGAGACAUUACAUAAAAGGAUAAAGAGGGCGCACAACGUGGGCAUUGCGGAAGCUGUAAGGCGCCUUCACAAUUCGGAAAACAACCCACAUAAAUAUGAUCCACAAACUGGGUAAGACUGCUGUUUUUCUGCUAUGUUUAUUUGGCCUUUGUGGGCCAUGCUGUUUAUGGGGUUUUACAUAUUCCUUUUAAAUGUAUUUAAUGACACACUUCUCUCUUUCCACACAGAAUAAGUUCGCCUCGUAACCAAGCAGUCAUGACUUAUCUGCUAGAGGAAUUGAAAACAACUUUUGCAGAUGCAGACCCUGAGUGUAUACAAGGUAAUUUUAAAAUGUUUGUUUAACAAUUUUAAUGUCCAUAAUUUUAGUCUCUUAUAUUUUGUCCAUCUUAUGAUUUCAAUAGUGUAGUUUCUGUCACUUAUCUGAAUUUUCUUUUAUUCAGCGUGUUGCAAGACAUACUUUGAAACACUUCGGAGAAAGUACAAUUUGUCUCAGCCAGAAAAGUCCCAGCUAAGAGAUGCCAUUAAAACAGG
rnacentral:lncRNA from 1 species